rnacentral:rRNA from 1 species
UAACACCAGCGCCACGAGUGGCAAUCAUGUUUAUUGGGCCUAAAGCGUUCGUAGCUGGUUUUGUAAGUUCUUUGUGAAAUCGUUUGGCUUAACCAAACGACUUGCAAGAAAUACUGCAAUUCUAGGGACCGGGAGGAGUGUGGGGUAUUCCGGGGGGAACGGUAAAAUGUAAUAAUCCUCGGAGGACCACCAGUGGCGAAGGCGCCACACUAGAACGGAUCCGACAGUGAGGGACGAAGGCCAGGGGAGCAAAACGGAUUAGAUACCCGAGUAGUCCUGGCAGUAAACGCUGCGUGCUAGGUGUUGCAUUUUCUUGGGAAAGUGCAGUAUCGGAGCGAAGGCGUUAAGCACGCCGCCUGGGUAGUACGGUCGCAAGGCUG